AUGAUUAGUAAUCACUGGUAUUUCCAUAUGUUUUUAAUUUUUAUAUUUUAUUUUUUCAAGUUCCCUCAUUUUCACUCCAACAUUUCUUACUUUUUUUUUUUCCUUUUAUUGAUAACCCAUAGUUUGACCAGCUCUUGGGAAGGUACACAGAAGUUAGUGAAGGAUUUUGGUCUUCAGGCAUCACUGGAAGGGAAGAUGAUGUGGAGCGUUUGGCACAGCAGUAGCAGUUGAUGCUUGGACAAUGAGUGGAAACUUGCCAAGGAGCAACUUUACCCUUUCCAUCCCCUGUGAAACAUGACAAGAAGUGACUGAGAGCUUCUUCAUGGGUCACUUGAAUUUCUGGUGCUCCCAUGUGACACAGUCAGUCCACUAUGACUUCCGGGAGUUUUCCCAUUGUCUGGACCCUAUAGACCAAAAAGAAUCUUCCUGUUGAGAUGAGGAAAAGGGUCAAACAGAGAGAAAUGGCCAUCAGGAGAGGAUCAUCGAGGCACCACUUCUGACACUUGGAGACCUGUGCUCAAUUUUCACCUCUAACAACAUUUCUUGACUCAGUGUGAGCAAUUUGCUUUUCCUUGGACUGCAUCUGCACUUAGAAAAUGAGCCUACUCCUGAACAGAGGUGUUGAAAAACUACAUUAAUCUUGGUGAGGUGCUUAGAUAUGGAACUCUAAGCGCCUGGAUAAAUAGCUGACAGCCAGGGCUAGACAACUUAUUAAUUGCUUUCUUUCAGCUCAGGGUUUUGCGUUGCUUUGACUUGUUAUGUGGGAAGACACUGGGAUACAUGUUUUAAGUAUGUGACUAAAAUAUAGGUUUGUCAAUGACAGAACCAUGUUAGAACUGAAUGACAAAGAGAAGCUUCACUUUUCUGCUCUAUUACUUUCUUUCACACAGCAGAAUGAAUGUUGGUUACAUGAACAAUAUUGUGCAGAGGCAAAUAGGCAGGAAAUUGAGAAAUUCUGUCAAGGGUACCUUUCUGGGAUGUUAUCCCUCUCGCAAAUAAAAUUCAUAGUGGGAUUUGACAUGAAUUUCCAUAUAAAAUACCUAAGCCAGCUUUUAAUUGCCUGCUUGGAAAGAUUUGCAUUGAAAUAGAACUGAUCCUAAUAUCACUUUCUUUUUAAGUAAAUCUACUGUGCAUAUUU